CAGUAGCCACGGGAAUACGUAGGGCGCAAGCGUUAUCCGGAAUUAUUGGGCGUAAAGAACUCGUAGGCGGUUUGUCGCGUCUGCCGUGAAAGUCCGGGGCUCAACCCCGGAUCUGCCGUGGGUACGGGCAGACUAGAGUGAUGUAGGGGAGACUGGAAUUCCUGGUGUAGCGGUGAAAUGCGCAGAUAUCAGGAGGAACACCGAUGGCGAAGGCAGGUCUCUGGGCAUUAACUGACGCUGAGGAGCGAAAGCAUGGGGAGCGAACAGGAUUAGAUACCCCGGUAGUCCCUGUCUCUUAUAC
rnacentral:rRNA from 1 species